rnacentral:rRNA from 1 species
UACGAGGGGAGCAAGCGUUGUUCGGAUUUACUGGGCGUAAAGGGCGCGUAGGCGGCGUGACAAGUCACUUGUGAAAUCUCCGGGCUUAACCCGGAAAGGUCAAGUGAAACUGUCGUGCUAGAGUACAGAAGGGGCAACUGGAAUUCUCGGUGUAGCGGUGAAAUUCGUAGAUAUCGGGAGGAACACCAGUGGCGAAGGCGGAGACUUGGGCCAAUACUGACGCUGAGGUGCGAAAGCGUGGGGAGCAAACAGG